rnacentral:tRNA from 3 species
GGCCCUAUCGUCUAGUGGUUAGGACAUAGCCCUUUCACGGCUGUAACAGGGGUUCAAAUCCCCUUGGGGUCA